ensembl:lncRNA
AUGUUUAGAAAGGUCCUGCUGCUCGACAGGUUGGGUCAAGGGCUAUGCAAGAGGCAGGGAAACCCAGAGAAGAUGCUGCAUGAAUCCAGAAAGGAGUGGACAGCAAUGCUCUCUGGAUUUGCUAUCCCUAGCCUGCCCCUGCCCUGCUCUCAGCCCUACAGGCUCUCUUCUUGGUCUGCUUUUUCUCUUCUCUGUGGGCGUCUCAGUCUCCCGUUUUGUGUGUCUGCGACCUGGUUCUGUCUCAGCACCUGCGUAUCUAUGUCUCUGUCUUUCUCAGCAUCUAACUGCAUGUGCUUCUGGCUUAGUCUUCCCAACUCCUUUCAGGAGCAGGGCCUGAGGGCACCAAGUAUCCCCUCGGGAAAGGAGUGGAAGCAGGAUCUGGGCAGAUUCCUGAUGGUCAGUCAGGGCCUCACAGGAGCCCAGCUCAGACCCUGGAGAAACCCACCACCCCAAGGCCUCAGGGAUGAAGACAUCCUACUACUGACCAGCGCCACUCCAGCCAAGCACUCCUGUUAUUCCAGAAGAAGACAUUUGCCAUGAAUUUGACUCAUCUGGAUCUUCCAUUGCUGCUUCUCUUAGGGUCUAACCACUUGUCUCUUGCUAGCAACUCAUUCUCCUAACUCCCAGUUUAAAUUCUGGAGAGAGAAUUUGUUUGGCUUGGUUAAUUGCUAUUGUUCAAGGUACUGUGGUUAUAUAAAGAUUACUCUGAAAGUUAGCAACUUAAAAAAUAUUCCUGGGCAUAUGACUUACAAUUUGGGCAGGACUUGACAGGCAUAGCCCAUCUCUGCUUUACAUGGUAUCACCUGGGCUGCCUGAAGGCUGGGGGCCAGAAUCAUCUGAAGGCUCACUUUGUCAUGUUGCAGUUGAUGUCAGCUGUAGGCUGAGACCCUUGGGCUCUCGGCUGGGAAACCUACAUGGUUAGAUUAGCCAUGUCUGUUAUUUGCUAUGCUCUGAUGUUUGGACACCUUGAGGCUUUGCUGACUCUGGAGCGACUGCCCACCCCUCUGCUAGAGAAAGCAAAAACUGCCUUAUAAACACGUCUUUCAUAUGCCAGCCAAUCAAUCCAGAGCCCAUUUCCCCAGCUGCAUCCUUCAUGGAGCUAUUAUACUCCAGGCCCCUAUCUCCCUAAUCACCUCAGGACCAGGUCUCAGACAAUUAGAGAUAGUCCCUCCACCCCAGAGCCCACUGCGAUUAUUCUAACUAGCCCAUCCUAAACCUGCUAAUCCUGCUCACCUGUUCCUUUCCAUGGAAACUACAGUAAAGCCUCUUGCCAGUUUUCCUCUCUCUCUGCCUCCCGACUGACCCUGGUGCUUCCCUGUGUGCCCCAACCCCAUCUCCCAGAGGCAUGGUGCUCCUCUUGGCCCUUGCUCUUGGAAACUCUGUGCAUAACAAACUGUCCUUUCAGUGGCAAUCACCUUUUGUUCUUCUGUCAUGAAUAAUAAAACACACAUUUUAAAAUGAUGGUCUCUCCA